rnacentral:rRNA from 1 species
GAUGAACGCUGGCGGCGUGCUUAACACAUGCAAGUCGAACGGAAAGGCCCAAGCUUGCUUGGGUACUCGAGUGGCGAACGGGUGAGUAACACGUGGGUGAUCUGCCCUGCACUUCGGGAUAAGCCUGGGAAACUGGGUCUAAUACCGGAUAGGACCACAUUUUGGAUGGUGUGGUGGAAAGUUUUUCGGUGUGGGAUGAGCUCGCGGCCUAUCAGCUUGUUGGUGGGGUAAUGGCCUACCAAGGCGUCGACGGGUAGCCGGCCUGAGAGGGUGUACGGCCACAUUGGGACUGAGAUACGGCCCAGACUCCUACAGGAGGCAGCAGUGGGGAAUAUUGCACAAUGGGCGCAAGCCUGAUGCAGCGACGCCGCGUGGGGGAUGACGGCCUUCGGGUUGUAAACUCCUUUCGCUAGGGACGAAGCGUUAUGUGACGGUACCUGGAGAAGAAGCACCGGCUAACUACGUG